rnacentral:rRNA from 1 species
AGGUUGGCUCAGAAGCAGCCAUCCUUUAAAGAGUGCGUAACAGCUCACUAGUCGAGUGACCCUGCGCCGAAAAUGUACCGGGGCUAAGCCUGAUACCGAAACUGCGGAUUGUAGGAAACUAUAGUGGUAGGGGAGCGUUGUAUACGAGCAGAAGCCGUACCGUGAGGAGCGGUGGAUUGUAUAGAAGUGAGAAUGCCGGUGUGAGUAGCGAGAUGUAGGUGAGAAUCCUACACACCGAAAGCCCAAGGAUUCCAGGGGAAGGUUCGUCCGCCCUGGGUAAGUCGGGACCUAACGCGAGGCCGAAAGGCGUAGUGGAUGGAAAGCAGGCGAAAGAUUCCUGCACCCGUAUAUGGAGCGAAGGAGUGACGGAGACGGAUAGUGUGACCCUCUUAAUGGAUUGAGGGCGAAGCGAAGCGGCUGGUUACCAGGCAAAUCCGGUAACCAAAAGGCUAGAGCGUGACAGGUAAGCGAAAUCUUCGGAAAGUAGCGAAGCACAUGAUGACGGCUUCCAGGAAAAGCUUCUGGCAAUGCAUAUGCGGCCCGUACCAAAACCGACACAGGUGGGCAGGGAGAGAAUCCCGAGGUGAGCGAGAGAACUGUUGCCAAGGAACUCGGCAAAAUGACUCCGUAAGUUAGCGAGAAGGAGUGCUUAAGCAAUUAAGCCGCAGUGAAGAGGCCCAAGCGACUGUUUAACUAAAACACAGCUCUCUGCGAAGUCGCAAGACGAAGUAUAGGGGGUGACACCUGCCCGGUGCUGGAAGGUUAAGAGGAUCUGUUAAGAGCGAUCUGAAGCAGUGAUCCGAAGCCCCAGUGAACGGCGGCCGUAACUAUAACGGUCCUAAGGUAGCGAAAUUCCUUGUCAGGUAAGUUCUGACCCGCACGAAAGGUGUAACGAUUUGGGCGCUGUCUCGGCAGCAGACUCGGUGAAAUCUUAGUACCUGUGAAAAUGCAGGUUACCCGCAACUAGACGGAAAGACCCCAUGGAGCUUUACUGCAGCCUGAUAUUGAAUUCUGGUCAUACAUGUACAGGAUAGGUGGGAGACAAAGAGACGUGCACGCCAGUGUACGAGGAGUCGACGUUGGGAUACCACUCUUGUGUGACCGGGGUUCUAACCUGGUAUCGAGAACAGGUACGGGGAGAGUGUCAGGUGGGCAGUUUGACUGGGGCGGUCGCCUCCCAAAGAGUAACGGAGGCGCCCAAAGGUACGCUCAGAUUGGAUGGAAACCAAUCGUCGAGUGCAAUUGCAGAAGCGUGCUUGACUGUGAGACAGACAAGUCGAACAGGGACGAAAGUCGGGAAUAGUGAUCCGGCGGUGCCGAAUGGAAGGGCCGUCGCUCAACGGAUAAAAGCUACCCUGGGGAUAACAGGCUGAUCUCGCCCAAGAGUUCACAUCGACGGCGAGGUUUGGCACCUCGAUGUCGGCUCAUCGCAUCCUGGAGCUGGAUUCGGUUCCAAGGGUUGGGCUGUCCGCCCAUUAAAGCGGUACGCGAGCUGGGUUCAGAACGUCGUGAGACAGUUCGGUCCCUAUCUGUUGUGGGCGAAGGAGAUCUGCGGAGAGCUGUCCUCAGUACGAGAGGACCGGGAUGGACCUACCGCUGGUGCACCGGUUGUUCCGCCAGGGGCAUAGCCGGGUAGCUAAGUAGGGAAAGGAUAAGCGCUGAAAGCAUCUAAGCACGAAGCCUACUCCAAGAUGAGAUCUCCCAUUCGCAAGAAGUAAGACCCCUUAAAGACGAUAAGGUAGAUAGGCCAGGGAUGGAAGUGCAGUGAUGUACGGAGUUGACUGGUACUAAUCGGUCGAGGACUUAAUCAG